UACGUAGGGUGCGAGCGUUGUCCGGAAUUAUUGGGCGUAAAGAGCUCGUAGGCGGUCUGUCGCGUCGGUCGUGAAAACUUGAGGCUUAACCCUGAGCUUGCGGUCGAUACGGGCAUGACUGGAGUUCGGCAGGGGAGACUGGAAUUCCUGGUGUAGCGGUGAAAUGCGCAGAUAUCAGGAGGAACACCGGUGGCGAAGGCGGGUCUCUGGGCCGAUACUGACGCUGAGGAGCGAAAGCGUGGGGAGCGAACAGG
rnacentral:rRNA from 1 species